UUUUUUUUUUUUUUUUUUGUCAUAUGACCACGUGUGGUAUCCUGAAUCACCAGACUAGUCCACACGUGUUCCACACCAACCUGCCCAGGCCGUGUGAGUUGUUUCACCGGAGAUUCGAUCCUUAGCAGUGAUACUCACCUAACUAGGCUACUACCACCAGACCAAAGCCCUUGGGGCAAACCGGGUUAACAUUUUAUCCAGAAGUUUCUGCCUGGCUAAACAAUUAGCAGUAGCUUGACGGAUUUGGGGCAGGGACGGUCAUCAGUAUGACCGUCCCUGCACGGUUAAGGGCCAAGAUUUGUCCUCAAAAUUUUGUGCGGCUGAGAUAACACCAUGUAACUCGAUUUCUGCGCCAAGUGUGGGGUCCAUCACUAUCUGUUGUGAAAAUACAUCCUGUGAAAAAAAAGUUACACGGUGUACAAAGAAAGUUACGCGCAGUUGAUAAUGACUAAAAUUGACAGGGGCAGGUGCAACCGUCCGUGCCCCGAGUCCUAGCUUGACAGGCACUUCUGGAUAUGCUCAAUUUCCCAAGGACAUUUCAGUAGCUCCAUUUCCUCUCAAUGCCAUGUUGCUAAUUCAUCACAAACUGCGAUCUGCUGAGGCUUAUUCCAGCUUCCAAUUGCUCUGUGGAUGCCCCAGGUCCCAAGACUCCUGAGACACAUGCUUGUCUUGAAUGCCGAACAUCUCUUCUUGGUGACCGUGAUGAAAUGGUUCUACUACCAAUUUAGUCUCCUGGUUAUUUGGGACAAGCACCACGAACAUGAAGUUUUGAGCGAACGAAAGAGGUUCUUCGGGAUGAAAAGUAAGAAAGGUAGAGAAAAAAGAUUGUCAAAUAUACUCAAGUAUCUCCAUUUCCAGAUGCUAAGAGGCAAAUUUUUUCUGCAGAUUUCCUUAAGCAACCAAAGAAUCAAUUGGCUGUACGGAUCAUAUGUGCAAGGUCUUACAAAUGUUACGUUUGAAAUAGAUUAUAAGUUGUAACGACCAACAUGGUACAAAAUGAUCAGCAAAAGCUACAAAAACUCGAGAUGAUUAAGAAAAGUAAGAAAUCUGACUAGAAACUGAUCCUAUGUAUCUUCAUCAUCUUGAAU
rnacentral:lncRNA from 1 species